UAGGGAAUCUUCGGCAAUGGACGAAAGUCUGACCGAGCAACGCCGCGUGAGUGAAGAAGGUUUUCGGAUCGUAAAACUCUGUUGUUAGAGAAGAACAAGGACGUUAGUAACUGAACGUCCCCUGACGGUAUCUAACCAGAAAGCCACGGCUAACUACGUGCCAGCAGCCGCGGUACUACGUAGGUGGCCAGCGUUGUCCGGAGUGAAUGGGCGUAAAGCGAGCGCAGGCGGUUGCUUAAGUCUGAUGUGAAAGCCCCCGGCUCAACCGGGGAGGGUCAUUGGAAACUGGGAGACUUGAGUGCAGAAGAGGAGAGUGGAAUUCCAUGUGUAGCGGUGAAAUGCGUAGAUAUAUGGAGGAACACCAGUGGCGAAGGCGGCUCUCUGGUCUGUAACUGACGCUGAGGCUCGAAAGCGUGGGGAGCAAACAGG
rnacentral:rRNA from 1 species